AAAACACAUGAUUGAUAACAGCUGGAGGGAAAACUGAACCAACUUACAGCUAAAUCUUAAUGAUGAACUCUUCAUUCAGUGAUGAUGAGUUAAGGUUAGGUAUUGACCUUGAAUGGUUGAGGUUAGGAUAGGUCGUCGGGCAGCGAGACUCGCAAGAGUUUUCGCACAUUUUCGCAGCUUGGGUGUUACCUUCUAGACACGACCUUCUCUCAGUAUCGGAGGUUGUCGCUUGGUUAGUCCUGAUGGGUUGUU